rnacentral:rRNA from 1 species
CCUACGGGUUGCACCAGUGGGGAAUAUUGCACGAUGGGCGCAGGCCUGAUGCAGCCAUGCCGCGUGUAUGAAGAAGGCCUUCGGGUUGUAGAGUACUUUCAGCGGGGAGGAAGGUGUUGUGGUUAAUAACCACAGCAAUUGACGUUACCCGCAGAAGAAGCACCGGCUAACUACGUGCCAGCAGCCGCGGUAAUACGGAGGGUGCAAGCGUUAAUCGGAAUUACUGGGCGUAAAGCGCACGCAGGCGGUUGAUUAAGUUAGAUGUGAAAUCCCCGGGCUUAACCUGGGAAUGGCAUCUAAGACUGGUCAGCUAGAGUCUUGUAGAGGGGGGUAGAAUUCCAUGUAUAGCGGUGAAAUGCGUAGAGAUCUGGAGGAAUACCGGUGGCGAAGGCGGCCCCCUGGACAAAGACUGACGCUCAGGUGCGAAAGCGUGGGGAGCAAACAGGAUUAGAUACCCGCGUAGUC